rnacentral:lncRNA from 1 species
GCUGUUUUACUAGGCCGCACCACUUCCAGUGAACAUGAUAUCAUGCCACUUUCCUGGAUUGAUAUCUUCAAAAAUAUGCAUGACUUUUUUUUUUAAAUCUAUAUAUAAUUGAGAAUGGAAAUGGGGAAUGUGUCAAAGAGACAACAACCCGACCAUAGAGCAAACAACAGCCGAAGGCCACCAAUGGGUCUUCAAUGCAACGAGAAACUCCCGCACCCGCAGGCGUCCUUCAGCUGGCCCCUAAACAAAUAUGCAUACUAGUUCAGUGAAAAUGUGAUUCAAAACUAAUAUUUUAAAUCACACAUCUCAAUGACUUUCCAAUAGAAAAGAGCCUAGGUGUAAUAUUGUUUUUGGGUUACAUAUCUUAUCAAUCAACGAUAACCUGGGACGAGGUUAACCCAUUUGGUAUGUCUAUUUAGGACUUAUUUCGUUUUUGGAAUGAUUUAAUGACAUUUUGUUUUUUCUUUCACACCUUUACAAUAAUGUAUGCAUUGUACUUUAGGCGUUUGUCAACAACGUUCAUGUAUUAAGUGUGUGCACAUUUCAGUAUUUUUUCGUUUGCACUAUAUAAUACAAGAAUUUAAAAGAGUGUAGAAUGUUAUUUCCCGAAGUCAGGUGAUAAUAGUAUUGGUCCUUAUAAAUCAUAUUAGAAAAUACAUCAGCAAUUUAUUUUUUUUCUUUCUGAAAUUUGAGUUCUUUUCUUCCUGUAACAACUUUUCACAAGUCCGAUUCUUCAGGCAUGCUCGCUCUUUUACGUGACGAUUAACUGGAUAUGUCAAAACCUUUAG